rnacentral:misc_RNA from 1 species
UUUCCGUAGGUGAACCUGCGGAAGGAUCAUUAAUGAGUUGUCAUGGGGUUCGAUGCUGGCAGCCAGUUUUUGGAUGCAUGUGCUUGCCCUAACAAUCAUCUUCUUCCAAACACCUGUGCACAUUUUUGAGGGAGUCUUGAGUUGGUUGCCGCUCUUGGGUGAUUUUCUCACAUUCCCUUAAAUCAUUAUACGCUAUUAACAAUGUUGAACGUGCUCUGUGCCGCAAGGCCAUUAAUAUAGUACAACUUUUAACAACGGAUCUCUUGGCUCUC